CCAUACAAGAUAUUCUAUCCGUCCGAUCAAACGAGCGGCUCCGUGCGAUCCCCCAGCGAUCCCCGCGAUCCCGCCCCCUUCCUCCCCGCCGAUCCGCCGCCCCUGAGGCCCUGACUGCGCCGCCGCCCCGCGCGCCCAUGCCUCCCCGUCCCCCUGCCUCCCCCUUCUGGCGCUCUCGCCUCCUCCUCUAGCCUCUCCUGUACUCCCGUGCAGUCGCAGCCAUCAUGCCCGCGCUCUCCGCCGUGAGCGGAUCGCCUAGCCUCGCCUCGCCUCGCUCGACGCCACACGGAGGCAUCCCUGCCACGCGCAGAGCUGCAGGCCGAUGGAUUGAUGGCCUGCCGUGCAUAGAUGCCGCGCGGAUCGUCGAGCGGCCGCCACGUCCGCGACACCGUGCGCACUGCUCGCUCUGCUGCUCGUGGUGCCGUCGCUAAGAGUCAACCCCCGGCAUCGGCUUCUUCUGGGGCUCCGCAGCAGCCACCGCACCCCCGGCCGCCAUCGACACCAUCCUCACACGGUACGCAUGCCCCGUCCGCGACUUCUGCUACUGGGAGAUCCCCGAGGAUAGGAGGCCUUUGCCCGCAGGGAAUAAUGGAUCCCCGUGCUGGCCGGAAAGGGGGUCCUUGACUCCUUGUACUCCUCUGUUAAUCGGGAGUUCGUCGAGCUUCUCACUCGUCUCGCUCAAGUCUGUCAAUCGGGGAUUUCGUCAAGCUUCUCACUCGUCUCGCUCAAGUCAGGGAGCUUGCCGGUUUGUCAAAUUGGUCGAGUUAUUGUCAGGAUAGAUCUAAAGUAUGUGACAGUGGGUCCAUGACAAGGUAGAUGAAACAAUUCAUACUUUCAGAGGCCACUAGGAUGCCAACAGGUGAUGCCGUCUGUUUUUCUGAGGCUGAGGUGAAGUCUUAAGAAGAAAUGACAUCAUAUUUGAUACGUGGUUCCUCCUCGUGUGCAAUGGCAAGCACAAAUAUGAAUGGGCAGACAAGGUACGAUGUGCAUACAUGAAGUCGCUUUUCUGGUCAGGAUCAUUUCUGCGGAGAACAUUUCUCUUCUAUUUGUUCACCAUAUUAGGUUCUGAUAACUUUUAUUUGAAUGGGGCUGCUUAUCUGUAGUCACUCUCAUGCCAUCUUUACAAUAUGUGGUCAACAAAAGCGAAUAUGAUCUGGUAGAAUAGGGAAACAGAAGUCUGUGAAAUAGCUAGCUUCUGGGAUCAGUUACAACACACACACAAUUGAUACGAUCAAUUCCCCCAAUUUUCUAAAUUUGAUGCAGAUCACGGUAUUUGUAUUCAAUAUUUCAAUCUAGGCACAGCUUGAUCUUGUUGCUCAUAUCGUGCAUCUUAUGCUUGGCUCUGCACCUUCUUAUAUGUGAAUCACAUAUCUCAGUUAACUAACAGUACUUUCCCCUUGUGGUAAUGUGUUUGAAACAAAUGAAUAUUUAUGUAAUUCUGAUGGACAUGGGAGCAUUUUUAUACAGUAGCCACAUGUCAAGUUUAACUUAAA